rnacentral:rRNA from 1 species
AUGAACGCUGGCGGCGUGCCUAAUACAUGCAAGUCGAGCGAACGGACGAGAAGCUUGCUUCUCUGAUGUUAGCGGCGGACGGGUGAGUAACACGUGGAUAACCUACCUAUAAGACUGGGAUAACUUCGGGAAACCGGAGCUAAUACCGGAUGAUAUUUUGAACCGCAUGGUUCAAAAGUGAAAGACGGUCUUGCUGUCACUUAUAGAUGGAUCCGCGCUGCAUUAGCUAGUUGGUAAGGUAACGGCUUACCAAGGCAACGAUGCAUAGCCGACCUGAGAGGGUGAUCGGCCACACUGGAACUGAGACACGGUCCAGACUCCUACGGGAGGCAUCAGUAGGGAAUCUUCCGCAAUGGGCGAAAGCCUGACGGAGCAACGCCGCGUGAGUGAUGAAGGUCUUCGGAUCGUAAAACUCUGUUAUUAGGGAAGAACAUAUGUGUACGUAACUGUGCACAUCUUGACGGUACCUAAUCAGAAAGCCACGGCUAACUACGUG